CUAACCACACUGGCCAUCAUAGCCCACAUCCUGCGCUUCUUACCCCAGUGCCCUCUCUCACUCUCACUUUCUCACUCUCUCUCAGUCCCGUCUUAAACUUUACUCGUGUCGCAUCUCCACCAGUCAGUCAGUCAGUCAGUUAGCCAGUCAACCAGCCAGUAAACCAGUUAGCCAGUCAAUCAGUAAUCCGAUACGCAUGCACACAUGCACGCACGCACGCACGCACGCACGCACGCAAAGUGUUAGUUAUUACGUGUGGAAAGAGUAUUGCGUGUUUUACUACUACUUCUACUACUACUAUUACUACUACUGCCGUGAAGACAUCAACCCGACCUGAGCCGACUGCGGGAGUGACAAAUGGUUCCCUGGACGCCGUGUGUCACCGGAUUGCAGGCGAGCGUCAGGCGGACCAUGAGUCGGGACGCUGCCAAGUCCGUUGACCAGAACCUGACCAGGAAAAUUCAAGAAGCGUGGCCUUGACCUUGCUCAGCAGUUGUGCCCUCACCUGACCUACGUUAUGUUGCUCUGCGUUCAUUGUUUCUGGCAAAGUGAGUUAGUGCAGCCGUGCCUUCAGUGUGUCACCAUAAUUUGCAAGCAGUCGAUUUCCUGCUCUACUUUACCAGGUGGUAUUUGUUUUGAAAGAGAGUUGAGAAGUGGAUUAUGUCAUGCUCUCAACCUAAAUUUUAUACUUCUUUAUUCAUAACUGCAUCAACAGACCACCUGGGAAAAGUAAUGCUUUGUGCCUCUGUUUGUUUUCAUUUCACGACACGGCAGGAAGGGAGAGCACGACCACAGAGCAAAGAAUUCAAGAGAUACCUCUUUUUAUUCUGGGAAAAUAGGAUGCGUAUUUCUGGUCGUCCUUCAGAGAAGCUAAUGUUAUGCAUGCGUAUGCCAUUUAAAUUCAGCGAAGAAAUUUGAGAAAUACUUCUGGAAAAUGUUUUAACGAGCUCCUAUCGUUAAAUCUUCAUAAGAAACGUUUGCACCAUAAAAUAACGAAAUUUUAAGCCUCACAUCCAGCAUCAGAGACCAUAAGAGCAACAGCAAGGUGUAUUCGAGGAACAGUGUUAAGAUGUGUAUAAACAAAGUAAAAAGAUGUGUAUAAACAAAGUAAAACAAAGUUAAGAUGUGUAUAAACAAA